rnacentral:lncRNA from 1 species
UUUCAUCUUAUUAAUUAUACUUUAUUCUUUUUAUUUUGUCUUGAAUGAGAAUUCACGUUUCACGAGAAAGGUACAUGUAAUUAUGGCUUAGCAGUUGUCAUUUCCAAGAAAUUUGACACUUUAUUUAAUAUGCAAUGAAAUUUAAUUUUAAAAAAGAAAGAGUGCAAUACGCAUCUAAAUGGUGCAACAUUCUCACAUAAUAGUACAACGUUUACACAAAUGGUGUAAAUAUCUGUACAAAUGAUGUAAAAUAUGCACGGUUUGUACAUAUAUUAUAUAAUUUUUAUAGUAUGCUGUAAUUUAUUAUAUUAUUUUCGUGUAAUAUACUAAGCUGUAUGUAGUUUAGUGUAAAAAUAAUGCAAAAUGUGUAUUAACAAUUCAUAUGUUGCACUACUUAUACACAUAUUGCACUAUUUGGAAGAGCAUGUUGCAAUAUUUGAGAGGAUGUUGCACUCUUUUAUCUUAUUAAUUAUACUUUAUUCUUUUUAUUUUGUCUUGAAUGAGGAUUCACGUUUCACGAGAAAAGUACAUGUAAUUAUGACUUAGCAGUUGUCAUUUUCAAGAAAUUUGAUAUUUUUAAUAUGCAAUGAAAUUUAAUUUUUAAAAAGAAAGAGUGCAAUACACAUUUAAAUGGUGCAACAUCCUCUUAUAAUAGUGCAACGUUUACACAAAUAGUGUAAAUAUCUGUAUAAAUUAUGUAAAAUAUGCACGGUUUGUACAUAUAUUGUAUAAGUUUUAUAAUAUGUUGUAAUUUAUUAUAUUAUUUUCGUGUAAUAUACUAAACUGUACAUAAUUUAGUGUAAAAAUCAUGCAAAAUGUGUAUUAACAAUGCAUAUGUUGCACUACUUAUACAGAUAUUGCACUAUUUUAAAGAGCAUGUUGCACUAUUUGAGAGGAUGUUGCACUCUUUCAUCUUAUUAAUUAUCCUUUAUUCUUUUUCUUUUGCUUUGAAUGAGGUUUCUCGUUUCACGAGAAAGGUACAUGUAAUUAUGGCUUAGCAGUUGUCAUUUCCAAGAAAUUUUACAUUUUAUUUAAUAUACAAUAAAAUUUAAUUUUCAAAAAAAAUAGUGCAACACAAAUCUAAAUGGUGCAACAUCCUCUCAUAAUAGUGCAACAUUUACACAAAUGAUAUAAAUAUCUGUACAAAUAGUGUAAAAUAUGCACCGUUUGUAUAUAUAUUGUAUAUUUUUUAUAGUAUAUUAUAAUAUAUUAUAUUAUUUCGCAUAAUAUAGUAAACUAUACGUAAUUUAAUGUAAAAAUCAUGCAAAAUGUGUAUUAACAAUGCAUAUGUUGCACUACUUAUACACAUAUUGCACUAUUUGGAAGAGCAUGUUGCAUUAUUUGAGAGGAUGUUUCA